GACGAACGCUGGCGGCGUGCCUAAUACAUGCAAGUCGAACGAACGGACGCGAAGCUUGCGUCUCUGAUGUUAGCGGAAGGGGGGAGAGUCACACGUGUAUAACCUACCUAUCAGACUGGGAUAACUUCGGGACACCGGAUCUAAUACCGUAUGAUAUUUUGCACCACAUUGUUCAAUAGUGAGAGUCGGUCUUUGUGUCACUAAUAGCUGGAUCCGGGCUGCAUUAGCUGGUUGGUAAGGUAACGGGUUACCAAGGCGACGAUGCAUAGCCGAACUGAGAGAGUGGUCGGCCACAUGGGAAGGGAGACAGGGUCAAGACGCCUGCGGUAGGCCGCAGAAGGGAAUCGUACGCAAUGGGGGAGAGCCUGACAGAGCAACGCGGAGUGAGUGAUGAAGGUGCUCGGUUCGUAAAACCCUGUUAUUAGGGGAGAACAUAUGUGUAAGUAACUGUGCAGAUAUUGACGGUACCGAGUCAAAAAGCCACGGCUAACUACGUG
rnacentral:rRNA from 1 species